UACAUUUUGGUGUAUGGUGCACAUAAAUUUUUGAUAUUUUUGGAUAUAGUUUAACUCUAUUAAAUGUAA
rnacentral:tRNA from 1 species